GGGGUCAUAUCAGAAAGAUAUGUUUGAUGAAAUUAACUACAGAAUCAAGAAGUAUAUACUCAAAAAUGCAAAUACUACAAUAUAUAAGACAAUGCUGGAGUGCAAUGGUGCAAUCUUGGCUCACUGCAACCUCCGCCUCCUGGGUUCAAAUGAUUCUCCUGCCUCAGCCUCCCAAGUAGCUGGGACUACAGACCGCAACCAAUUGCUCUUCCUUCCCAUUGAAAGAAACCCAGGCUGUACCUGCUCUUUCAUCUCCUGUGUGGAAAACAUCUAUCGGCUGGAAGCCCUGAGUCUUCAUUUUCAAGGAUUUUAGUUGUAAGCUGUUUAAGGCAUAAGCUAAAGUUUCAGGCAGAGGUAAUUUUAGUAGUUAAGCCUGAUUUUUACUUCCACCCUCUGUCCUCCAGGGCUAUAUGGGAAGCUUUCUGUGAGUGGAUAAGCUCUUUAGCUAAGAUGUAAACAUGUUCCCUGCUAUCUGAUAAAGGUUCCUGGAGACUGACACUUUAAAAAAAAAAAAAAAAAGAAAGUGAGGAAAAAAAGAAAAGGAGAAACUGAAUCCAAGGCUUACAAAGGGAUUAGAAAACUGUACCCCAGAUGGAAAAUUUUAUGGGCUCUGGAGAAAAUGUGUAAGUGAAAUAUCGGUAUCAUAAAAUAACAGGAAAUAGUGUAAUCUACCUGAUGGAGAAAAUUGUCACUUUAAAAAAACUAUCCUAAUUUCCUUCAAAAUUGUUCUUGUUUUUGAGCCAAUAAACUUCAGCUAAGCUCA